GCCGUCGGUAGGUGCAACGGUUUAGCAUACGCUCCAGGAAAGAGUGAGAUCUGGGUUCGAAUCCCGGCUGACGCA